GUCUUUUUGAAUUAAAUUUAAAGUCUAACCUGCCCACUGAAAUUUUAAAUGGCCGCAGUAUUUUAACUGUGCAAAGGUAGCAUAAUCAUUAGUCUUUUAAUUGAAGGCUGGAAUGAAUGGUUGGACGAAAUAUUAACUGUUUCAUUUAAAUUUUUAGUAGAAUUUUAUUUUUUAGUUAAAAAGCUAAAAUUUAUUUAAAAGACGAGAAGACCCUAUAAAUCUUUAUAUUUUGUUUAUUUUAAUUAUAAAGAUUAUUUUUAUUAUAAUAAAUUAAAAUAUUUUAUUGGGGUGAUAUUAAAAUUUAAAAAACUUUUAAUUUUUAAAGCCAUUAAUAUAUGUAUAAUUGAUCCAUUAAUAAUGAUUAAAAAUUUAAGUUACUUUAGGGAUAACAGCGUAAUUUUUUUGGAGAGUUCAUAUCGAUAAAAAAGAUUGCGACCUCGAUGUUGGAUUAAGAUAUAAUUUUGGGUGUAGCCGUUCAAAUUUUAAGUCUGUUCGACUUUUAAAUUCUU
rnacentral:rRNA from 1 species